UUAGGCAUUUCAUAACUUGAGGGAAAUUUAGGUAUACUGAUGUUUCAAAUCAAAUAUUAAUUUAUUAAUGACAGCUAAUCAUUUUAUAAAGAUUUUUUAUAACAAUAUUUAUUUAUAUAAUAUCAAUUUAAUACAUUUAUUUCGUUACACCUACAUCACUGAGCGCAAGGGAGUGCAGCCAACAAAUACAUUCAGGUGUGUUUGACUUAACACCGAGAUGCGCAGACAGCACGUGGUAUGACAUCAAGUACCGCGAGAGUUUGGGAAAGCCCCGGAAAAGGUUUGAACUCGCGGUACUUGAUGUCACGAUCGGUUUGCGCGUAGAUCAGCAUGAAGUCAAACACAUCUGAGAGAUGUGUGGGCUGCCUAGCACUCAACGUUGGGAUCAUUCAAUAGAGUGUAACCUCAAUCGGUUUUUGCAGCUUCUGGGUCCCGUGUAGAACGAUUUUUUUGUUCUUUUCCAACUCGAUUUUUAACUCCCUAAACUAGUAGGAUGUUCCAACGGGUGAAGCAACAGUGCUGACGGCAGUUUCAGUGUCAAGUUUUCAUGCCAUGACCACUGGGGCGGAAACCAUUAUGACAUUGCCUUGGACAUCAAACUAAACCAUCUCAUUCUGGCUUUUGAGGUGGAUUCUAACCUCGAAAUCUCAGAAGGACAGGUCUAAGAUGGACGCAGCCUCCAUAGGAUGCAACCUUGCAUUUGAGAAACACCCAUAGAACGGUCAACUUACCCCAUACUCUAACCUGAAUGCAGGGAUCAUAAAACUUUAUCUUUUACCUUAAUUGUUAGAUGGGUGUUGAUACCAAACUUUUUUUCUCGUCUACCCAGGAGAAAGUCAUGGUGUUCUGCUGCUAAGGUUGUCAUAAACGUCUUUUAUUCUGCUUACCUGACUCAUGCAGAAUUCUGGCUUGAUGUUUGGUCCACCUGUUAGCUGGCUCUGGUGCUUGGUAGUCUUCUCAAACCUCUGAAUCAAGACCACCAUGAGAGGCCUUCUGAAGACCAUCAUUACGCUUCAGAUCCAGCUGUCUUUACUUUGAGCCUACCACAAUCCCUGUGCACCAGCUAUGGAAAGUGCAGACCAAACUUCUACCUCCACCUAUAGAACUGAACUGGAGUCUAUGAACUAAUGCUGUGUUCGAGACAACUUGGAUGUUGGAUAUUAUUGACCUUAAACCCGUAAGAAGUCAGGAACAGGAAACAAAGUGGAGUAUCCGACCUCUCAACUUGGACCAGAUCGAUCAACACCGACCUCAACGAGAUGCGUCAUUUGACAUUGCAGACAAGAUCCUUUCUCUUUUUAAUGCAGCACUUAAGGAUGAACCACCCUGAUCUACUAAGAUGCACAGAUUCAACUCUGGCCCAGCAUCAUCCCCAUACCUCAUCUGCCAUCAGUUUAAUUUAAUGUCUGUCAAUUGCAAAUGCUAUUUAUUUCAGUUAUAUUACAACUUAAUAUUAAAGGAAUAGUCUACCCUUUUGCCAUAUUAAACUAUGUUAUUACCUCAACCUAGAUGAAUUAAUACAUACCUAUCUUUUUUCAAUGCGUGCACCGUACAGCGCGUUGUGAAUGUGUUAGCAUUUAGCCUAGCCCCAUUCAUUCCUAUGGUACCAAAAAGUUUUAUUUUGUGGCACCAUACUUACUGGUAUAACUCCUCAUGUAACAGUCUUAAAAUAGGGAAAACACAAAAGUGUUUGGUGGCUUCCCUGUUUGGUACCAUAGGAAUGAAUGGGGCUAGGCUAAAUGCUAACACAUUCACGACGCGCUGUACAGUGCACAAUAGAUAUGUAUUAAUUCGUCUAAGUUGAGGUAAUAACAUAGUUUAAUAUGGCAAAAGGGUAGACUAUUCCUUUAACUUUAAUUGAGACUAGUAUUGUGUAAAGCUGGGGUUUCCAAACUUCUCAUUUCAAAACCUAUUAGACAACUGUAAUCUAUUCUAGACCCACUAAAAUAUUUUUAAAUAUUCAUUUUUUAAUGGGGUAAAACACAUUUGUUCUCUUUCAGUGGAGUCAUUUUAUUUUCAUAAUAUUUCAUAAUGUAAAGUAAAUAUAAGUUUAUUUGCAAUACCAAAUAUUUUAUGGUAUAUUCUUUCAAAACCAUUGUCAUUGUUAAUUAUUAAUUUGGCCAAACUGUUGUUGCAUCAUUACGGUGUGCAACACACCUUAACCUACUGUGUGACGGACAAGUAGGUCCUCCUGACACACAAUUUAAAAUCCCCUGGUGUACUGAAUGUUGUAUUGUAAUUAAAGUUGCAUCUAAGUCUUGUGUAACAGUCUCCAUUAUUUGUGAUUAUAUUCAUAGUGUCACAUGGUACUUUCAGCACUUACUACAUCACAGUGUUUUUAAUGCUUUCAUUUUUAGGGUUAUUAUAAAUUCAUUCAUUUUUAAAGAAUUCCUUCUUUAUGUAGAACAUGCAAAGUCUAAAAUGUAAAGUGUCAUGAUCAGCUCUGGGUCUUGUGCAGUGAAUAAAUGAGCAGGUAGUAAAUGUCAUAGCUUUAAGUUCUGGAUGUAAUGAACAUUCAGCACAUAGGUUUCAUAAAUUGAAUUUGGUAAACAAACUUGUCGAAACAAUUCAUGCUGUGAUGCUGGAUAAUACCUGGUCAAAUGAAUACAUGUAUAAUGUGUUUUAACAUUGUAUAAGGUUUCUUCAUCUAUAUAGAUAUAUGUUAAAGAACGGUGCAGAGACUGCUGUCCAUUAUUG